rnacentral:lncRNA from 1 species
UAUUGGAUCGCAGAAUCCAGCAAUUAAGGACAAAAGAAAUUCUGUUAGUAAGAGUUCAAUGGAGGAACCAUAAUGUCGAAGAAUCAACAUGGGAAAGAGAAGAGGAAAUCAAGACCAAGUAUCCAGAACUUUUCAACUAAGUUUAAGGUAAUUUCGAGGACGAAAUUUUUUUAACGGAGGAGGGAUGUAAUACUCCGAAAUUUUAUGCUCGUUUAAAUUUUCAUAGGAUAGCGAUUUAACUUUCAAUAUUAUUUUUGGCCAUAAGGAAAAGGGGACACCACCUUUGUAGUGGUUAAUGCUAGAGGUAGUUAAUGAAUGCAAGCAUGAAGUGCUAAAUGUUGUGUAUUCAUGAAGUGAUUAUUAGUUAGUCGAAACUUAAGUCAAGUUUGAAUUUGAAUGAAGUGGAUUAUUUUGUUAGGACUUCAAUUGACCAAACGAUUAAAUUAUUUUACAAUCUACAAUUUUUGAAUAUGUAAGUUGGAUACAAGUUUAAAUUUGG